UUCAAGAAUCAAGAAGUUUAUUGGCCAUCGGUGUUACCGUUGGUCCUAGGCCUACUUUUAAGAUUUUCGCUAGAUCAACCUAACUUAUUUAUGUUUUCAAUUCAUCAUCAAUUUUCUACAACCCUCAAAGAUCGACCUCUUCCAAAGGAUUGGGGGCGCAACAGUGGUGGACUCUGACUGUCGAGCCCUCAUCAGAUCGCGGACAAACGAAGUAGAUGUUAGCUUCAGUUGGGAGGGAAGGAAGGGAAAGAGGACCCUCCACAGCCUCAACUUCAUAAAACACUGGAGAGUGUUGUUGCAGCGUCUCACGGAGACAAUGUCACAUACAAGGCAUUUGAAACCAAGGUUAAAGAAUGGUUCCGGCAGGCUCGAAGAUUAAAUUUUAAAAUGUAAAGCUGUACUUGAUUUAUUAAGAUUACAUUUUUAAUUGUAAAGC